UACGGGGGGGGCAAGCGUCGUUCGGAAUUACUGGGCGUAAAGGGCGCGUAGGCGGCCUUGUAAGUCAGAUGUGAAAGCCCUUGGCUUAACCAAGGAACUGCAUCUGAAACUGCAGGGCUUGAGUCCGGGAGGGGAGAGUGGAAUUCCCAGUGUAGCGGUGAAAUGCGUAGAUAUUGGGAGGAACACCGGUGGCGAAGGCGGCUCUCUGGACCGGUACUGACGCUGAGGCGCGAAAGCUAGGGGAGCAAACGGG
rnacentral:rRNA from 1 species